rnacentral:rRNA from 1 species
AGAGUUUGAUCCUGGCUCAGGACGAACGCUGGCGGCGUGCCUAACACAUGCAAGUCGAGCGAUGAAGUUCCUUCGGGAACGGAUUAGCGGCGGACGGGUGAGUAACACGUGGGUAACCUGCCUUAUAGAGGGGGAUAGCCUUCCGAAAGGAAGAUUAAUACCGCAUAAAGUUGUUGAUUCGCAUGGAUCGAUAACCAAAGGAGCAAUCCGCUAUAAGAUGGACCCGCGGCGCAUUAGCUAGUUGGUGAGGUAGAAGCUCACCAAGGCGACGAUGCGUAGCCGACCUGAGAGGGUGAUCGGCCACAUUGGGACUGAGACACGGCCCAGACUCCUACGGGAGGCAGCAGUGGGGAAUAUUGCACAAUGGGGGAAACCCUGAUGCAGCAACGCCGCGUGAGUGAUGAAGGCCUUCGGGUUGUAAAGCUCUGUCUUUGGGGACGAUAAUGACGGUACCCAAGGAGGAAGCCACGGCUAACUACGUG